rnacentral:rRNA from 1 species
GACGAACGCUGGCGGCGUGCCUAAUACAUGCAAGUAGAACGCUGAAGGAGGAGCUUGCUUCUCUGGAUGAGUUGCGAACGGGUGAGUAACGCGUAGGUAACCUGCCUGGUAGCGGGGGAUAACUAUUGGAAACGAUAGCUAAUACCGCAUAAUAGUAGAUGUUGCAUGACAUUUGCUUAAAAGGUGCAAUUGCAUCACUACCAGAUGGACCUGCGUUGUAUUAGCUAGUUGGUGAGGUAACGGCUCACCAAGGCGACGAUACAUCGCAGACCUGAGAGGGGGAUCGGCCCCACUGGGACUGAGACACGGCCCAGACUCCUUCGGGAGGCAGCAGUAGGGAAUCUUCGGCAAUGGACGGAAGUCUGACCGAGCAACGCCGCGUGAGUGAAGAAGGUUUUCGGAUCGUAAAGCUCUGUUGUAAGAGAAGAACGAGUGUUAGAGUGGAAAGUUCACACUGUGACGGUAUCUUACCAGAAAGGGACGGCUAACUACGUG